AUUUUAUUUGCCAUCUGUUUAUUUCUGUGCUUUUGGACUGAGGAGCCAAGAAGCUGAAUAUGCAGCACACACACACACACACACAAACCAGGCAUGGGAUGCCAUUUUCUAAAUGGAAUGUGGCAAUAGCUACAGCCAAAUCCGUUUGUGAAGAUACCUUACUAGGCUUAGAGAGAAUGGAAAGCAGCUUUGGAUUUUUCUAAAACCUCUUUCAGAGUUUACAGAUUCCUACUUCAAGCUCAGGAUGCCCCCAAGCAAACAAAAUGUAGAAUAAGAAGCAGAAACACUAUUGAUUUAUGUGCUUUAACUUUAACAUCAAGAUGAACAGGGAGAAAAAAAAGCAAGCAUGAGGCAAAGCAGAAUCAUCCCUUCACUGGAAAACGAGAGUGAUAGACUCUAUGAAUCCUGCUUACACAAGAUGUAAAAGAGGACAUGGACAGCCUGAGUUCUCCAUUUACAUUACCCUUGGAUGAGUGCACAAGCAAGUUUCUCACUUUGGACCUUUAUUAAUGAAGCUAUUGUGAAGCAAGCAAGCUUGACUCUUUUCCUUACAGAUGACUAAAGGAAGAGUUCUUUGGGCUAAGAUUUGCUUUCCAGGGAGGCAUCUGAAAUCCCAACCAAGUUAUGACUGAUUUUAACUAUAACAGUGGGAAUGAAUGGACUUGGAAGUUGUUUCAAAAUAUGUUCUAUUAACUUUAAUAUGUGCUAAACAUUGUAGCAGAAUUUUAAUUUUUUGCUUUUCAAUAUAGCUAUGCUUUUUCCUGUGUUGAUGCCUUUCUGUGGAAGAGAUUACUGCCACUAACAGGCUAUAAAUUUUAUUUUUCCUGAAUUCUUAAACUUAUUGCAGUCAUAAAUUAAUAGCAAUGAUUCUGACAGCAAUUACAAUUGUUCUACAAGGUUUUAUUUUUAACUACCUGCUCAGUCAUAUCUAGGCCAUUCAUUGGAAGAGGUGUCUGCAAAGUUGUUGUGAUAGCUCACAUUUAUUUUUGCUCAAUGGUGGAAAUAAUGAAUUAUUUUCAUGAAAGACUCAUGUUAGAAUAUGUAUGCUGUGUGGAAACAGGCAGGUUUCUGAUUUAGUUCUGUUGGUAUUCCUCUCCUCAGAAAAUAUCCAACUUUGGAAACUUUCUAGUUAGAAACUUUCAAAGUUGAUAUAAAUCUGAGAAACAUGUUGCUUUGAUGAAAAUAAAUAUGUUAGUAACCAUAAGAGCA
rnacentral:lncRNA from 14 species